rnacentral:rRNA from 1 species
AGCGAACGCUGGCGGCAGGCUUAACACAUGCAAGUCGAGCGCCCGUAGCAAUACGGGAGCGGCAGACGGGAGAGUAACACGUGGGAACAUGCCCUUCGGUUCGGAAUAACUCAGGGAAACUUGAGCUAAUACCGGAUACGUCCGUAAGGAGAAAGAUUUAUCGCCGAAGGAUUGGCCCGCGUCCGAUUAGCUUGUUGGUGAGGUAAUGGCUCACCAAGGCGACGAUCGGUAGCUGGCUGAGAGGAUGAUCAGCCUCACUGGGACUGAGACACGGCCCAGACUCCUACGGGAGGCAGCAGUGGGGAAGUAUUGGACAAUGGGCGAAAGACCUGAUCCAGCCAUGCCGCGUGGGUGAAUGAAGGCCUUAGGGUUGUAAG